UUUGCAGCAAAGUGUUAAGAAUGAUCACUAUUGACUAUGCAACAUAUAUUCUGGAUUUUGUGGUGUGAGUUGAGAUUUUGUUCACUAUUGACUAUGCAACAUAUAUUCUGGAUUUUGUGCAUUAUUUACAUCAUGGUGUUACAUUCUCGAUCCUUUAUUGAAAAGCUGGGAUGAUGAAGAAGAAGCACUAGCAGAAAGAGCAAGUGAAGUGAAUUUUGCAGAUGAGAUAAGUGGAAUUAAUACAGGACCUCCUUCACCAACUUCAUCUAUUAAUUAUUAGAGCAGUGAAAAUUGUUCAAAUAAGUUAGGAAAUUGAAUAGGAGUUGCUUGCAAUAUAGGUCUUUUAAUUUACUAGUAUGAGGAAAAUCAUUUAGAGCCUUUUGGAUACUCAUUAACAACUUUUAAUUUAUUCAAUAGACUUUGUUGAUGUAUGUUUGUUACUUAUUAUUAUAGUUGAUGUAUCAAUACACUUUGUUUAUAUUUUGAAUUAUA